rnacentral:rRNA from 1 species
AUUGAACGCUGGCGGCAGGCCUAACACAUGCAAGUCGAACGAGUGGCGGACGGGUGAGUAAUGUCUGGGAAACUCCCUGAUGGAGGGGGAUAACUACUGGAAACAGUAGCUAAUACCGCAUACCAUCGGAUGUGCCCAGAUGGGAUUAGCUAGUAGGUGGGGUAAAGGCACACCUAGGCGACGAUCCCUAGCUGGUCUGAGAGGAUGACCAGCCACACUGGAACUGAGACACGGUCCAUACUCCUACGGGAGGCAGCAGGGGGGAAUAUUGCAAAAGGGGCGCAAGCCUGAUGCAGCCAUGCCGCGUGUAUGAAGAAGGCCUUCGGGUUGUAAAGUACUUUCAGCGGGGAGGCGUUACCCACAGAAGAAGCACCGGCUAACUCCGUGCCAGCAGCCGCGGUAAUAC